rnacentral:rRNA from 1 species
UACGGGGGGGGUAAGCGUUGUUCGGAUUUAUUGGGCGUAAAGGGUGCGUAGGCGGUUAUGUAAGUCGGGUGUGAAAUUUCGGAGCCUAACUCCGAAACUGCAUUCGAAACUGCAUAGCUCGAGGUCUGGAGAGGUAAUUGGAAUUCUAGGUGUAGCAGUGAAAUGCGUAGAUAUCUAGAGGAACACCAGAGGCGAAAGCGAAUUACUGGACAGAACCUGACGCUGAGGCACGAAAGCUAGGGGAGCAAACGGG